UACGGGGGGGGCAAGCGUUGUUCGGAAUUACUGGGCGUAAAGGGCUCGUAGGCGGCCAACUAAGUCGGACGUGAAAUCCCUCGGCUUAACCGGGGAACUGCGUCCGAUACUGGAUGGCUUGAGUUUGGGAGAGGGAUGCGGAAUUCCAGGUGUAGCGGUGAAAUGCGUAGAUAUCUGGAGGAACACCGGUGGCGAAGGCGGCAUCCUGGACCAACACUGACGCUGAGACGCGAAAGCGUGGGGAGCAAACAGG
rnacentral:rRNA from 1 species